rnacentral:rRNA from 1 species
GUGGGGAAUUUUGGACAAUGGGCGCAAGCCUGAUCCAGCAAUGCCGCGUGCAGGAAGAAGGCCUUCGGGUUGUAAACUGCUUUUGUACGGAACGAAACGGUCCGGGUUAAUACCCUGGGCUAAUGACGGUACCGUAAGAAUAAGCACCGGCUAACUACGUGCCAGCAGCCGCGGUAAUACGUAGGGUGCAAGCGUUAAUCGGAAUUACUGGGCGUAAAGCGUGCGCAGGCGGUUUUGUAAGACAGGCGUGAAAUCCCCGGGCUCAACCUGGGAAUUGCGAUUGUGACUGCAAGGCUGGAGUGCGGCAGAGGGGGAUGGAAUUCCGCGUGUAGCAGUGAAAUGCGUAGAUAUGCGGAGGAACACCGAUGGCGAAGGCAAUCCCCUGGGCCUGCACUGACGCUCAUGCACGAAAGCGUGGGGAGCAAACAGGAUUAGAAACCCCGGUAGUCC